rnacentral:rRNA from 1 species
UACGUAGGGACCGAGCGUUGUCCGGAAUCAUUGGGCGUAAAGAGCGUGUAGGCGGCUAUUUAAGUCCUGCGUGAAAUCCUGCGGCUCAACCGCAGACGGUCGUGGAACUGAUGGCUAGAGUGCGGGAGAGGAGAGUGGAAUUCCCGUGUAGCGGUGAAAUGCGCAGAUAUCGGGAAGAACACCCGUGGCGAAGGCGGCUCUCUGGAACGCAACUGACGCUGAGACGCGAAGCGUGGGAGCAACAG